UACGGAGGGUGCAAGCGUUUUUCGGAAUCACUGGGCGUAAAGCGCGUGUAGGCGGCCUCCUAAGUCUGGUGUGAAAGCCCGGGGCUCACCCCCGGAAGUGCAUUGGAUACUGGGAGGCUGGAGUACCGAAGAGGAGGGUGGAAUUCCUGGUGUAGCGGUGAAAUGCGUAGAUAUCAGGAGGAAAACCGGUGGCGAAGGCGGCCCUCUGGUCGGAUACUGACGCUGAGACGCGCAGGCGUGGGGAGCAAACAGG
rnacentral:rRNA from 1 species